rnacentral:rRNA from 1 species
CUACGGGCGGCACCAGUGAGGAAUUUUGCGCAAUGGGGGAAACCCUGACGCAGCAACGCCGCGUGAGUGAUGAAGGCCUUCGGGUCGUAAAGCUCUGUCAAGUGGGAAGAACCUACCUAUGGGUAAUAUUCAUGGGUACUGACGGUACCACUGAAGGAAGCACCGGCUAACUCCGUGCCAGCAGCCGCGGUAAUACGGGGGGUGCAAGCGUUAUUCGGAAUUAUUGGGCGUAAAGGGCGCGUAGGCGGUCUUGUUAGUCAGAUGUGAAAGCCCGGGGCUCAACCCCGGAAGUGCAUUUGAUACUGCAAGACUUGAGUAUGGGAGAGGGAAGUGGAAUUCCUGGUGUAGAGGUGAAAUUCGUAGAUAUCAGGAGGAACAUCUGUGGCGAAGGCGACUUCCUGGACCAAUACUGACGCUGAGGCGCGAAGGCGUGGGUAGCAAACAGGAUUAGAUACCCGCGUAGUC